rnacentral:tRNA from 1 species
GUCCCUAUAGCUCAGUGGAUAGAGCGCUUCCCUGCGGAGGAAGAGGUCGGGGGUUCGAGUCCUCCUGGGGACG